ACCCGGCGGCCCGAGAGGCCGACCGGGGGUGUUGCGUUCCGGUGCGUCCUUGCCGGCCGAGUUGCUGACCGCCUAAGUCAUUGCUUGAAAGCAGCCCCGAGGAGGGUGAUAGGCCCGUGUGGCGGCGCCCAUAAGAAGGGUGUAGGCGGCUUGGUCGGGCGGACGUCCACCGUAGAGUCGGGUUGCCUAGUAACGCAGCCCUAAGCAGGUGGUAAACUCCAUCUAAGGCUAAAUACUCCCACGAGUCCGAUAGUGCACAAGUACCGUGAGGGAAAGCUGAAAAGAACUCUGAAGAGAGAGUUCAAGAGGACGUGAAACCGUUAGAAGCUUAAACGGGUGGAACCGCGAAGGUUGAGCCAGGGGAUUCAGCUCGCCGGUGGGCGGGGCGCGGAUGGCGGCGUUGGAGAUUUACUAUGGACGACCGGACCCGGCGCGAAGUCGCGACCGGGCCCCGCCGCCGCCCCCGAUCUUCUGGGCGGGCUUACUUCUCCCUGGCUAGAGUCGCCGCGACCCGUUCUGGGGAGCCCAAGGGCCGUGCCGCACUGGUAGUCCGGGC
rnacentral:rRNA from 1 species